rnacentral:rRNA from 1 species
UACGUAGGUGGCAAGCGUUGUCCGGAAUUAUUGGGCGUAAAGCGCGCGCAGGCGGUCUUUUAAGUCUGAUGUGAAAGCCCACGGCUCAACCGUGGAGGGUCAUUGGAAACUGGGGAACUUGAGUGCAGAAGAGGAAAGUGGAAUUCCAAGUGUAGCGGUGAAAUGCGCAGAUAUCGGGAAGAACACCCGUGGCGAAGGCGGCUCUCUGGGACGGUACUGACGCUGAGACGCGAAAGCGUGGGGAGCGAACAGG